rnacentral:lncRNA from 1 species
CAGUGAGUAAUAUUAUUGUAACCAGUUUUGAGAGAAAUAACUUUUGUCAGUGGAUGAACAUUAAUGAUACCAUUAAAUACCUACCUACUUCAAAACACAAAAUUAUUAUCAAUACUAAAUAAAAAGUACCAUAUGCAAACCAAUAUUACUUAAAAUUACCGUAUAGUGUAAUCAUUUAUUGUAUUUUUUAAAAUGUUCGACGCUGAUUUACAUCAUUCGUACUUUAUAAAACAUUUAUACUCGUAUAAUGUUUAACCACGUUUAUUAUGAAAUAUAUUGAAUUUAUACAGUAUUUUCACGUAAGAUAAUAAAAAAUGCGCCUUGAAAUAACAAAUAUUUCGAUUGAAAAAUAUUUUUCACAUUUUGUCACUGGCUUUUGGCUUGUGGAGGCAGUUAAAAAUAUAUUGUAGAAAACAUGAUAAUCCUCGUAAACGGUAAGAUUAUUCUAUUAUACUUUUAAUACAACGUUACGCGGAACAUAAGACUAAAGUAGAAGAAAUCCACGGGAAAAAUCGUAAUUAAAAAAUCACGAGUGCAAACAAUUGGAAAUUGUUUAUUAUUGACAAAAGAAUACACAAUUUACUAUGAUUCUAUAACAAUUAGAUUGAUUCAUUAUUUUAACAACAUUACCAAACUAUAGAAAUCGGUCUAUCAGCAAAAAUUAAUAUUUUUCAAUUAUUUACGUUCAAGACAGUUUCAUUAUAAAUAUUCUGUUAACAAGAUCAAAUAACUAAAACGUUUAAAAAUAUAUUUUGAACUGUAUAAAUUAAAAUGAAUAUGCAUGGAUAUCAUAAUAAAUUAUCAUUUAUUGGAUUUUUCGUCCGUGGCUUUUUUCACGCUGAAUUUUUCAUCCAAGAUUCCGUCGCACGCUUUGAGGUGGACAUCAACAACAACAAAAAUAACAACAACAACAACAACAAUAACAAUACGAUUAGUCAGCUUUAAAAAUAAUAACACAGCGUAAAUUGAUAUGCUUGACUGCUUAAAAAUACCCAAAAUUAAAUAAAAUAUUAUACGCUCAAAAAAUAAUUAUACGAGUACAUCAGAAUAAUUUAGGUAUUAUGAAUAGACAAUAGUCUUUAUUCCCGCCAAUGGCGUAUUUUAAGAUUUUUCAAUUAGUGACGUGGAGGGGUUGAGUUAAAUUAGUAAAAAAGCAAUCAUUCGGCUCCGACCCGUUAUGACUCAACUGAAUUUUUAUGAAAACUAUUAAAAAAAAAAAAGUAUAUAAAGUUGAGCCUACCGUUAGCAAAUAUUUGCUUUACAGCUGACGACUGUACAACAUAGCCCGUCGAGGGGUUGAGGUGAUUGUACCUUUUUAUCCUUUUGACGUAUAAAUACGCCACUGAUUCCCGGAUAGAAUGUCAUAACUUAUUUCGGGAUUUGUUUAUAUUGUAAUAGACUCAACGGUAGGUUUAAUUGGUACAACAUAAUAAACCGAACGAUUAAAUCUGCAGUCAGGUAUAGUGGUUGAUGAUUUAUUGAUAAACAUAUCUACAAUUUUCCAGACAAAUAUAAUAAUAUUGUAAAAACGUACCGUGAAAAAACAUUUCGGUAUACUGAACUCAAAUAUCUAGUUUUAUUUUGUUAUAUUUUAUUUCUUUUUCUACAUAAAUUCACUCAUCUAA